AAUGAACGCUGGCGGCGCGGAUUAGGCAUGCAAGUCGAGCGAGAAAGGGUAGCAAUACCCGAGUAAAGCGGCAAACUGGUUAGUAACAGGUGGGCAAUGUGCCCCGAAGUGGGGGAUAACUCCGAGAAAUCGGAACUAAUACCGCAUAUGGCCGUCGGGACUUCGGUCCGGACGGUUAAAGGCUUUGGUCGCUUCGGGAUCGGCCCGCCCCGGAUUAGCUUGUUGGCGAGGUAACGGCUCACCAAGGCGACGAUCCGUAGCUGGUCUGAGAGGAUGGUCAGCAACACUGGAACUGAGACACGGCCCAGACUCCUACGGGAGGCAGCAGGUGGGGAAUCUUGCGCAAUGGGCGAAAGCCUGACGCAGCGACGCCGCGUGAGGGAUGACGGCC
rnacentral:rRNA from 1 species